AGGAAGUCCUCGACUUAUGAUAGUCUUGAAUUACAAUGAUCCAUACUUACAACAGUCGCUGUCAAUGAUUUUGCAAUAAUGGCAGCCAAUCAAUCAGAUGGCUAAGAAGUUAAAAGGAUGGAAACAUGCUGUGUUACCAUUAUGGAGUAAUUGUAUUUAAUUGUGGAUCUCUUAAACUCCAGAUUUGUUUUAGAUAUUUGCACACAGCCAUUCAACCCAUCCUUCACCUAAUACCCGCUAUCCACAAGUUAUCCAUACUAUUACCACUAGUGUAGAUAGCUUGUGGUGAGUACUAGGAUGCUGGUUAGUCUUCAGUAAAAGAGAAAACAACAUAAGAUACAAAUGGCAAUUAUGCUGGUUUCCAAUGCUUUUUUCUAUUAAAAAAAAAAUUAGAUUUUGUUUCAUUUCAAAAAUAUUUCCUGAAAUAUGUGCAACAAAAAUUACAUUCACAGUAGAUCACCAACUUGUGCAGCUAAUUAAUCCAAAAAAUUUCCAUAUAAAUUGCAAACCAUUUAAAUCCAACAAUGUUUUUAAUUUUGAUAUACACGAAUGCAUACAUGAGCAAAUGGAAUGAAAAAUGAAAUUUAUGACCAUAUUUUAAGCAUUGAUAAGACCAUUUAAGGCCAUAACUGAUAAUUUUG
rnacentral:lncRNA from 1 species